rnacentral:ncRNA from 1 species
UGUCUCCUCCAUGUCUCCUCCUGAUAUGGAUUAAGCCCGUUCCGCUCUGCGUGAACGGGCUUUUUUUCG